AUAUUCAUCGUGUUUAGCUGAAAUGUAGUCAAUUAUUCCGGUGCAAGGACUAACUCGUACAACGCACACACAAAUCAUUUAUGAGGAGAUUCAAACGUGACUUUAGCAGAGCUCUGCAGCCAUGUCCACUAACACUGAGGAGAGGAGCAGCUCUGCAGCCAGGUGCUUCGGACAGUACACGUACACAGCCGAGGAGCACCAGGCGGUGCACAAAGCUCUGCGACAGAAGCUGGGACCAGAGUUCAUCAGUACCAGAAUGGCCG